ACAAAAGACCAGUGUAUUUCAGGAGAGCUCAUGAAAGACACACCUGUGAGAUUGAGAUCACAGUUAUAAUCUUGUAAUUACAGCAAGCAGGAAAAAGAAGACUUCAUUUUGGAAGGUCCACGUGUGUGAUUCCAGGGUUUGCCUUUCCAGUUCCUGCACCAAAGGGAAGAUCUUGAAAGUGCUGCUGUGCCCAACUGGAUACAGGGCAUAGCAAAUUGGCCCUUUGUGGAUUGUAAUGGAGCCUGAGCAUGAACCAGAACUUGUCUGUGAUUUCACAUCAUUCCAACAAGGAUCUUGUGUCUGUUGUCGAAGCUGACAGAGACUGUGCCUGAGAUGUGUUGAUGAUGUUUUGGCUGCCUUUCAAGAAAGCACACAUGCUCUGAACACCUUUCUAGAAUUCUUGAGUAGUCAAGUGUCUUCCCAUUAAAAUCUACAAAGCAAAUGGAGAAAUAAAGCUUAAUGUCCUUUUCUAAACAGA